AUACAGUCCCCAUAAGGUUUCUCAUACAGUCCCCAUAAGGUUUCUCAUACAGUCCCCAUAAGGUUUCUCAUACAGUCCCCAUAAGGUUUCUCAUACAGUCCCCAUAAGGUUUCUCAUACAGUCCCCAUAAGGUUUCUCAUACAGUCCCCAUAAGGUUUCUCACACAGUCCCCAUAAGGUUUCUCACACAGUCCCCAUAAGGUUUCUCAUACAGUUCCCAUAAGGUUUCUCAUACAGUUCCCAUAAGGCACAUAGCCCUCACAAAGUCUGUUACACACAGU